rnacentral:lncRNA from 1 species
UUACUGGCCAUUUUUAUAGACUAUGAAUGUUUCCAGUGACACAAAUACAGAACACUAUUAUUAAUGAACACUUAGAACUUUGCACUGCAAGCAUGAGACUAGUGAUGGGUGAGGAAGAAGCCUUAAUUUCCUCUGCUUUACUAAGCGGCAGCUGCUGCCCUUGUUGGAAUCCUGGUGGCCAUGGCACUGAAUUGUUCCCCAGAUCUCGUGUUGUGCACACUUCACCUUUUAGAAAGCUAUUCCCAAGAAGAGAAAGAGAAGGGGAAUACAGCUUUCCCAUGGCACACAUUUUCUCUGCUCUCUCCUUGGCUCUGGAAGAGGGUAAGUGAAAAGCAAUUUCAAGUUGUCAUCAAUGUCUUCAUAAGAUAGGAGUUUUCUUUAUCUAAAGAAAAAUUGUCGUGGUAAUUUACAGUGAGGCCACAAUGCUUGGUCAGAGCAUAAACUCAUCUUUCUACUGUCUAUGUAUUUACUGGCAAAUUUUAAUAUUUUAUUAUGAGAAGCUGGACAUGAGUAAACAGGCAAUGGCCAUUAUAUCUUAUAGAUCUG